CAAACGUAUGCAUGUGUGGAAUAAAUGGAUGAGCAGCACAUGCUAUAGAGAAUGUCUAAUGCAAGUCAAAUGUGCUUCAAUGCAACAGGAGUGCAAAACAUGCUUUUGUGCACGAAAACCAAAUUCUAUGUUUGGUCUUUUCAUUGUUGUACCUUUAAAAAUCUAAAGCAUGACAAGGAAAAGAGACGUUUGAACUGAGCAAUAUGAUGGCCAAGAAACUAGUGUGUACAAAGGACACAUUCACAUGUGCUGCUGGUAUUAUGGGUUACU